GUUUUGCUUGCGUGUGGUCAUUCUUUAUCCACGGCCUUGUGUGAGCAACUGUGAGUACCUGAGUGGGAUGGAGUAACUCGAAGAAAGUGCAAGUGCGAGUAACAGCAACUGGAAUGCGCUGACACUGUGCCCUUCCUAGCUUGGCGUCGCCAUAGACACGCAGUGCAAAGGGGCGUGUCAUAUUUAUCGUUGAUAUCCAUGGCUGGGUCCAUUGCAUUACACAAAAAGCCACCAAUUGCUGACAUGGAGCAUGGCGUCAUUGUCAAGGUCAUGAGUGGUCUCCGUCCCCUUCUGGUAUCAUGCGUUGAUUUGAGCUGCUGCUUGGAGGCGCCGCCCCUCUUUUCUCCUCACAUGGACCUUGGUCUUCAUCAUGUUCACUCUUCACAAAGACACCAGUAUAUUGAAACUUGGUG